GAUGGGAGCUUGCUCCCUGAUGUUAGCGGCGGACGGGUGAGUAACACGUGGGUAACCUGCCUGUAAGACUGGGAUAACUCCGGGAAACCGGGGCUAAUACCGGAUGGUUGUUUGAACCGCAUGGUUCAAACAUAAAAGGUGGCUUCGGCUACCACUUACAGAUGGACCCGCGGCGCAUUAGCUAGUUGGUGAGGUAACGGCUCACCAAGGCAACGAUGCGUAGCCGACCUGAGAGGGUGAUCGGCCACACUGGGACUGAGACACGGCCCAGACUCCUACGGGAGGCAGCAGUAGGGAAUCUUCCGCAAUGGACGAAAGUCUGACGGAGCAACGCCGCGUGAGUGAUGAAGGUUUUCGGAUCGUAAAGCUCUGUUGUUAGGGAAGAACAAGUACCGUUCGAAUAGGGCGGUACCUUGACGGUACCUAACCAGAAAGCCACGGCUAACUACGUGCCAGCAGCCGCGGUAAUACGUAGGUGGCAAGCGUUGUCCGGAAUUAUUGGGCGUAAAGGGCUCGCAGGCGGUUUCUUAAGUCUGAUGUGAAAGCCCCCGGCUC
rnacentral:rRNA from 1 species